AGUGAACGCUGGCGGUAGGCCUAACACAUGCAAGUCGAACGGCAGCACAGUAAGAGCUUGCUCUUACGGGUGGCGAGUGGCGGACGGGUGAGGAAUACAUCGGAAUCUACUUUUUCGUGGGGGAUAACGUAGGGAAACUUACGCUAAUACCGCAUACGACCUACGGGUGAAAGCAGGGGAUCUUCGGACCUUGCGCGAUUGAAUGAGCCGAUGUCGGAUUGGCUAGUUGGCGGGGUAAAGGCCCACCAAGGCGACGAUCCGUAGCUGGUCUGAGAGGAUGAUCAGCCACACUGGAAGUGAGACACGGUCCAGACUACUAAGGGAGGCAGCAGUGGGGAAUAUUGGACAAUGGGGGCAAGCCUGGUCCAGCCAUACCGCGUGGGUGAAGAAGGCCUUCGGGUUGUAAAGCCCUUUUGUUGGGAAAGAAAAGCAGCAGGUUAAUACCCCGCUGUUCUGACGGUACCCAAAGAAUAAGCACCGGCUAACUUCGUG
rnacentral:rRNA from 1 species